GAUGAACGCUGGCGGCGUGCCUAAUACAUGCAAGUCGAGCGAACGGACGAGAAGCUUGCUCUUCUGAUGUUAGCGGCGGACGGGUGAGUAACACGUGGAUAACCUACCUAUAAGACUGGGAUAACUUCGGGAAACCGGAGCUAAUACCGGAUAAUAUUUUGAACCGCAUGGUUCAAAAGUGAAAGACGGUCUUGCUGUCACUUAUAGAUGGAUCCGCGCUGCAUUAGCUAGUUGGUAAGGUAACGGCUUACCAAGGCAACGAUGCAUAGCCGACCUGAGAGGGUGAUCGGCCACACUGGAACUGAGACACGGUCCAGACUCCUACGGGAGGCAGCAGUAGGGAAUCUUCCGCAAUGGGCGAAAGCCUGACGGAGCAACGCCGCGUGAGUGAUGAAGGUCUUCGGAUCGUAAAACUCUGUUAUUAGGGAAGAACAUAUGUGUAAGUAACUAUGCACGUCUUGACGGUACCUAAUCAGAAAGCCACGGCUAACUACGUG
rnacentral:rRNA from 1 species